GGCUGAUUUAAGUGUGGUGGUGUUUAUAACUAAUUGAUCACAACUAGUUACAGAUUCCUUUAUUCCUUUUCCAUUCCUGUUGCUUCACUUGACUAGCCUUAA
rnacentral:Y_RNA from 1 species